CUUAAACGGGGCGAAGGCUUCAGUUCACUUGUUCCUCUCAGUCCGUUAGCACCUAUUCAUGAAUCGAUGUUGGAAUUACGCAAAUAAUAUAAUAAUUACGAAAGCUUGUGUCAUGGUGGGUAAUUGUAUUGUCUUUCCGUUUAUUUGUUAUUGAUUUGUAAAGUGACGAGGUUAUUGGAGGUUAUUAUGAGUAUAUUCAAGACGAGAUGCGGUUAUCUGCAAACGUUCACAUCAGUCAUUUGGAAUUUCAGUUCAAGGAAACAAUUAAAAAAAGCUUCCUGGUAAGCGCGUAUUGCAAAUAGGCUAUAAGUGGAGUGACGAAAAAGGGAGAGCGCAAAGAAAUUGACAAGGCAGAGCGGAUGAUCGGGAAAUUUGAGUGAUAUUUCCUAUUUACGAGUGUUCAUAACGCCAUUCUAAUUGAAGACAUGGUGAUCCUCGAGGGACAGCUCCUUACGUAUGAAAGCGAGAAUAAAAAGUGAGUGGCACCCUGGCAAACAACCUGAGACUUCAUCAAGGCGCACACAGAAGUUAGCCUCUAGGCUAUAUGGAGCAGACCUUUUAAUUACUUUUCCAUUCUCUCCCAUCAAGUCGGUCAAGGAAGGAUCAGAAGAUGACCGCACUUGCAGCCCAAAUACACUUAUAAAAACUGAUGAUUCUCUCCUUUCCUCUGUGGUCGUGUUUUAAAUCGUGGAAUGGUAUGGGGCAGAACAGUGCCGAAGACUGAGUUAUCCGGCGCGGUUCAAUAGCGUUGACAUUAAAACAUCGACGGAUUUACUGGAGGAUAUUAGAAACGGAGACAAAGCAGGGGUCUCGUUAAACUCACGGCAGCGUCAGAGAGGGAGAUCCCUUUCCUCAGCCCGCGGUAGCAAUGAGCGGACUGUGCAAGCCUGUAGUUAUGGGACUCAUAUUGCUGAUCUGCAGUACUACCAGCCACUGUGAGGAGAGCGCGCCAGCCACGGCUCCCACGGUCGCGAGGAACGACAAGAGCCUACUCAGGCGGAUUGCAGACAUAGUGAGGCACGUGGAGGAGAGCCGCGGUGAGAACGGCACGAACGCAGCAUCACAGUCGACUUCUAGGAGAGAAUCCCCAGUUGAGACAAAAAGGGAUUUACGAAACCUCAAAACAGAUAGUGGCGAUCAAAUUAUUGAAAUAUUUCCUAGAGAUCUCAGAAAGAAAGAAAAGUUUUUAAAACACUUAACAGGUCCUCUGUAUUUCAAUCCCAAAUGCAGGAAGCACGUAUACAGACUAUAUCACAACACCAGAGACUGCACAAUACCUGCAUACUUCAAAAGAUGUGCACGGCUUCUCACACGCUUAGCAGGGAGCCCACGAUGUACAGAAGGGUAGCAGAAAUCAAGUUGAAGCCAAACCAGAGCUGUCCAGAAGACAGAGCCCUGAAAAAAAGUGCCUUAGACAACAACAGGGAAACCAAACACAGUGGAACCAGUCACGUCCACCAUUACGCAGUGUCCGUCACCAGAGUUCACUAUUUUACAAAGGCAUGGAUUACCACCCACAGGCCUGCCUGGACCCGACAGUCUGUGGUCACUGCGGGUCUUGACAAGAGACUAUACAGAAGAUACAGAAGGUGAAGGGGGAAAACAUGGCAGCAACCACAGAUUUCGGGGUUAUUAUUGUCCUGCUGGCUGGACAAACUCUACUUUCUUCUUUCUUUCUUGGUUUUUACCAAAAGAGAAAAGGGAUUGCUUUUGUUUGUUUUUAACCCCCCCCCCCCC